rnacentral:rRNA from 1 species
UUGAAAGGGAAACGAUUGAAGUCAGUCGUACCAGCGGGAAAUCAACCUUUCGAGUGGGGUUUUGGGAGUUUUUUGAAGAGUGUCAAAACCUUUGAGAUUUCAAAAUAUUCGCUCUUUUGGUGUACUUUCUCGUGGGUAGGUUAACAUCGAUUUUGAUCAUCAUAAAAAGAUUGGAGGAAUGUAGCUUCGAUCUUGUAUUGAAGUGUUAUAGCCUUUGGUAAAUGUGAUGAUUAGGAUCGAGGAUUGCAACGAAUACCCUUUUGGGCUAUCCGCCUGAUCUCUGAUACGUGGCCUUGGUAUCGAAAGCGUGCUUAUGGUAUUGAGGUAUUACGGUCAAAAGGUUAGAACGGAUUACAUUCGUUAAGGAUGUUGACGUA